ACGGUAUGUAUUAAUCGAACAAUGCUUCAAACAAUUAUCAAAAUAGAAUGCACAUUCAGCAAUCACGGAUAGAUAGAAUGGUGACUAAAGAAAUAUUAUUGAGCAUUAUCGUCACCAGUACGUCUUUACUUUUGCAGUAGUAGUUUGUAGUUAAAGUGCAGUUUGAGAUAUAGAAAAAAAUAUAAAAAUUCAAUUAUUUCAAAGUAUGUCAGAAGGAAAUAUAAGUAUCGUGAUGGAUGAAAACAAUGUCACUAUUGCAAAUUCAAAAGAAGUUCAUCUUAAACAACCGAGAUCAUGGUAUAGAAUUCUUGAGUGCCAGAUAUAUUUGAUUAUGGUGAUGGUUGUUUUCGCUGUUGUUAUUUCCCUUACAGUUAGAAAGUUUCAGCAGGCUCAGCAGAUUUUACAAGAGAGGCAUGAAAAAAGAGCGAUUAACGUUAUGGUUGCAUAUUUGGAUAAAUCGACUUCUAAUUUGCACUGAUUUGAACCGUUAUAAAAUAAGAAUCAGUUUAAAUGAAGCGUAUUUAUUAAAAUUGAUAAGUUAUCUCAGUAUCGAUGAUAUAUUGUAAUUCCCAAGACACCUGGAUAGAAAAUAAAGUAUUUAAUUGA